UUCCCUUUAUUAUACUAAUUGAUAUAGUCUAAAAUCUAAUUAAAAACUUUAGUGCAGUGCAAUUAAAAACAUAGCAGCUUAAAUUUUGAAAAAAAAGUUGAGCCCAUCAUUUAAAACAUAGCAGGCCUUGUUUAUUUAAAACAGGGGGUCCAGCUUAAUAAAAUAAAAAUCGGGCCAGUACUCUCACAGCCCAACUACUUCGGCUCAACCCUCUCAAGCCCGAACAAGUAACAUCCCACCUCUUCUUCUUCACAAAAUUCGUCUCUCUCUCUCUUUCGGCUCUCUUCUCAGGUCGACGGCAGCAAGGCCGCCGGCCGUCGCCCCUCAUCUCCCUCUGACAUCCCUCUCCGUCGUCCCUCCGUUCCCUAUCCCUUUCUUUCUUUGAUUAUAAAACAGAACACAACCCAUCGGAAACUCACACACACACUCACAUCAGACGGCCCGCCGCCUCUGAACUCCGGCGAAGGUGCCGCCGCCUCCCUCUGAUACCGCGACAUCGCCUUUCCCUCAACCCUCUUCUCUCUACCCUGUCGUCUCAUCUCCACUGCUCCGACAGGAACGACGAAGCCGCCUCUAACAGCGCAAACCCCACCGCCUGCAACAGCCCUUUUUCCUCCCUCCUCGGUUCGACUUCUCAGAUUCAACUCACGCCGACAACAAUUACUCAAGCCCGACUCCAUAUUUGUAUAUUUAAUGUUCCCAUUUUCCACCCAGAUUGGAUGCUUUGGCGAAUGGAUAAAACUGAGGGGGUGUCAAGAUUUACGUAGAUUUUAAAAGUCAUUUGGAUUUUAAAAGUCUAUAGAAUUCUCACAAUUCUUCAUGAUUUUGAAUAAAUUCUUGGUUGGAUUUUUAAUGAAUUAGCAAGAAUUUUG
rnacentral:lncRNA from 1 species